rnacentral:rRNA from 1 species
UACGUAGGGGGCUAGCGUUGUCCGGAAUCAUUGGGCGUAAAGAGCGUGUAGGCGGUCCGGUAAGUCCGCUGUGAAAGUCGGGGGCUCAACCCUCGAAUGCCGGUGGAUACUGUCGGGCUAGAGUGCGGAAGAGGCGAGUGGAAUUCCUGGUGUAGCGGUGAAAUGCGCAGAUAUCAGGAGGAACACCAGUGGCGAAGGCGGUGCUCUGGGCCGGAACUGACGCUGAGGAGCGAAAGCGUGGGGAGCAAACAGG